rnacentral:rRNA from 1 species
AUGUGCAGCUGUUGGGCAGCUUGCUUGGAGCAAGUACGCAAUGCACCUCCAAAUGGAACCGUGGAAUCUGAUUAUGACAAGAUUGCCCAACAUAGAUACAAAGACAUGGAAGCUUCAGAAGGUAAAUUCUUCAAACUAGAGCAUUGUUGGUUGCUUCAAAAGAGCGAGAAGUGGAAGUUGAUCGACAAAGAAUCCCCACCAAAGAGAGGAUCACUUAUAAAUGUGGAUGAAGAUGAGGAUGAUGAUGGCCCAAGAAAUUUGCACAAGCCCGAUGGUGACAAGAAGACUAAGGAGAAGAUGAAGAGAGAGCAAGAAGAAUCGAGCUUGAGGGACAAGAUUGAUGCCAUGGUGCAAUCAAACGAGUCGAUGUUGUUGAAGUUGUUGGAGAUCAAGAAAGAGUUGGCCGAGAAGAAGGCAAAGGAGAAGCAAGAAAAGUGGCAAUUUCUCAAGGAAGAGGGGCUGCGCAAAGCUGCCAUUGAGGAGAGAAGAGCACGCGCAGCUAAAAAUAAAGCCAUGUCCAAGUUGCUCGCUGAAGAGAACAAGAUCAUGUCAAUGAACCGCAAUGACAUGGACGAUCUUACCAAAACAUGGCAUGAUAUGGCAAGGAGAGAAAUCUUGAAGAGGAGAAUGGUUGCGUCGGCCGGUGCAUGCUACAGUUGCGGAGAUGUUUUCUCUGCUCCAUAUGGUGGCAAUGUUGAUGAUUUCGGUGCAGGAGUUGGAACAAGCGCCGGAGGUGGAUUCGGUGAUGGCGAUGAACUUCAAGAUGGACUCGAUGGCGUGGAGUGA